UAAAAAAUACUUUUUAUCUAUACAGAAACAAAAAUGUUUACAAUGUUAAUAUACACAUUUUGAAUCAAGUACCGACCACUUAAAUUACGAAUUGUAAAAAUUAUGUAUGUUAUUGGGUCCAAUUCCAAAUUGUCCCGAAGGAAAAUACCAUUAUUGAUUGAAUAUGUUUUAAAACAAAAACUAAAAACUAAUAUCGUAAUACUUUUGAAGUAUUUUAAUUACUCGAUACGAAUACAAAUUAUUCCGAAUGCUGUUUCUCACAUGUGUUCGAGUACUUUUGAAAAGUAUUCCACCCAAGUCUGCACAACAAUAUUAUAGUGGGUUCCAAGCGACGAGUUUCGUGUGCUCGUACACGUUCGUGCGGUUGGCAAAUAGCAAUAAUAUGAUAUUAUUAUGUUUGAGACGUGGAGUGUGUGUACUUGUUGGGUGCAGCGUGUACGAAAAUAAGUCAUAUUAUUAUGAUGGUGUACAAGGCACAAAGGUACUUAUAUAAUAUUAUUUACUCGGUGUAUGACGCGUACGCAAACAUCGCGGGUUCUUAUCUAAAUCGGCGUGCGUCGUGCGGCGCGACGUUUCGGACGGGGAAAAAAAAAAUUGUCAUUCGAUUGCCUAUUAUGUCGUACGCAUUGUUGUUGUAUGAAUUUUUUUUUCUUCCGCCACGGUAGUAUUCUUCGGCCAAAUACGUAUAGGCAUAGAAUUUUUUCGACGACACGGUACCCGAUGUACGGCCACUCGUGUUUGGGGCCAUAUUUCGAUGUUGUGCGUAAAAAAAAAAAAAA